rnacentral:rRNA from 1 species
GACGAACGCUGGCGGCGUGCUUAACACAUGCAAGUCGAACGGAAAGGCCCUGCUUUUGUGGGGUGCUCGAGUGGCGAACGGGUGAGUAACACGUGAGUAACCUGCCCUUGACUUUGGGAUAACUUCAGGAAACUGGGGCUAAUACCGGAUAGGAGCUCCUGCUGCAUGGUGGGGGUUGGAAAGUUUCGGCGGUUGGGGAUGGACUCGCGGCUUAUCAGCUUGUUGGUGGGGUAGUGGCUUACCAAGGCUUUGACGGGUAGCCGGCCUGAGAGGGUGACCGGCCACAUUGGGACUGCGAUACGGCCCAGACUCCUACGGGAGGCAGCAGUGGGGAAUAUUGCACAAUGGGCGGAAGCCUGAUGCAGCAACGCCGCGUGCGGGAUGACGGCCUUCGGGUUGUAAACCGCUUUCGCCUGUGACGAAGCGUGAGUGGCGGUAAUGGAUAAAGAAGCACCGGCUAACUACGUG